AGGUCCAUUCUAAUUCCCUGCAGGUCGGUGCCAGUACCUGCUGGGUUUCGCUUGUGGACCACAUUAAACCGGGAGACGUCUAUGAGCUUCCUGGUGGUCUGCUCAUAACGUGGUUUUCUGGACAUGA
ensembl:snoRNA